rnacentral:piRNA from 1 species
CUGGUCUACAAGAGCUAGUUCCACGAC